GACGAGUUUGAUCCUGGCUCAGAACGAACGCUGGCGGCGCGCCUAACACAUGCAAGUCGAACGAGAAUCCGGGGCAACCCGGUAGUAAAGUGGCAAACGGGUGAGGAAUACAUGGGUAACCUACCCUUGAGAAGGGAAUAACCCGCCGAAAGGUGAGCUAAUACCCUAUACGCUAUCUUUUUUUCGAAAGGAAUAGGAAAGCCGGGUCGAGGACCUGGUACUCAAGGAGGGGCUCAUGUCCUAUCAGCUUGUUGGUGGGGUAACGGCCUACCAAGGCUACGACGGGUAGCUGGUCUGAGAGGAUGAUCAGCCACACUGGCACUGAGAUACGGGCCAGACUCCUACGGGAGGCAGCAGUGAGGAAUAUUGCGCAAUGGGCGAAAGCCUGACGCAGCGACGCCGCGUGGGGGAUGAAGGUUUUCGGAUUGUAAACCCCUUUCAUGAGGAAAGAUAAACGUGGGUAACCACUUAGACGGUACCUCAAGAAGAAGCCACGGCUAACUUCGUG
rnacentral:rRNA from 1 species